rnacentral:rRNA from 1 species
CCCAGUGGCAAACGGGUGAGUAACACGUGGGUAAUUUACCCUCGGGUUCGGAAUAACUCCGCGAAAGCGGGGCUAAUACUGGAUGUGACCACGACAUCAUAUGAUGUUGAGGUAAAAGCUGGGGACCGCAAGGCCUAGCGCCUGAGGAUGAGCCCGCGGCCUAUCAGCUAGUUGGUGAGGUAACGGCUCACCAAGGCUUUUGACGGGUAGCUGGACUGAGAGGUUGGUCAGCCACACUGGGACUGAGACACUGCCCAGACUCCUACGGGAGGCUGCAGUCGAGAAUCUUUAGCAAUGGACGAAAGUCUGACUAUGCGACGCCGCGUGAGUGAUGAAGGUCUUCGGAUCGUAAAGCUCUGUCACAGGGGAGGAUGCUUUUGACAUCAAAUAGAUGUCAGGAGUGACAGUACCCUGAGAGGAAGCCACGGCCAACUCCGUGCCAGCAGCCGCGGUAAUACGGAGGUGGCGAGCGUUACUCGGAUUUAUUGGGUGUAAAGGGCAUGUAAGCCGGUGCCGUAAGUCGUAUGUGAAAUCCCAGGGCUUAACCCUGGAACUGCAUACGAAACUGCGCGACUUGAGUACUGGAUAGGAGAGUGGAAUUCCCGGUGUAAGGGUGAAAUCUGUAGAUAUCGGGGGGAACACCAGUGGCGAAAGCGGCUCUCUGGACAGAGACUGACGCUGAAAUGCGAAAGCGUGGGGAGCAAACAGGAUUAGAUACCCUGGUAGUCCACGCCGUAAACGAUGGGCACUAGGUGUCGGGCCGCAAGGCUCGGUGCCGCAGUUAACACAUUAAGUGCCCCACCUGGGGAGUACGGCGGCAACGCUGAAACUCAAAGGAAUUGACGGGGGCCCGCACAAGCGGUGGAGCAUGUGGUUCAAUUCGACGCUACGCGAAGAACCUUACCAAGGCUUGACAUACUAGUAGUAGUGAACUGAAAGGGGAACGACCCCGCAAGGGGAGCUAGUACAGGUGCUGCAUGGUUGUCGUCAGCUCGUGUCGUGAGAUGUUGGGUUAAGUCCCGCAACGAGCGCAACCAUUACUCUUAGUUGCUACUUCGAAAGAAGGCACUCUAAGGGGACUGCCUCCGUUGAGGAGGAGGAAGGUGGUGAUGACGUCAAAUCAGUACGGCCCUUAUGCCUUCGGCUACACACGUGCUACAAUGGCCGGUACAAAGAGUUGCAAGACCGCAAGGUGGAGCUAAUCUCAAAAAACCGGCCCCAGUUCAGAUUGCAGGCUGCAAUUUGCCUGCAUGAAGUCGGAAUCGCUAGUAAGCGCGGAUCAGCCACGCCGCGCUGAAUACGUUCCCGGGCCUUGUACACACCGCCCGUCAAGUCACUUGAAUCGAGUGCACCCGA